GCCUUCAUGAAGCCGGAAUUGCUAGUAAUGGCAGGUCAGCAUACUGCCGUGAAUACGUUCCCGGGCCUUGUACACACCGCCCGUCACACCAUGAGAGUUGGGAAUACCCGAAGCCUGUGAGCUAACUUUUAGAGGCAGCAGUCGAAGGUAGAAUCAAUGAUUGGGGUGAAGUCGUAACAAGGUAAC
rnacentral:rRNA from 1 species